rnacentral:rRNA from 1 species
CCCUUAGAUGUCCUGGGCCGCACGCGCGUUACACUGAUGCAUUCAACGAGCUUAUAACCUUGGCCGAGAGGCCUGGGCAAUCUUGUUAACGUGCAUCGUGAUAGGGAUAGAUUAUUGAAAUUAUUAAUCUUGAACGAGGAAUUCCUAGUAAACGCAGAUCAUCAAUCUGCAUUGAUUACGUCCCUGCCCUUUGUACACACCGCCCGUCGCACCUACCGAUUGAUGGUCCGGUGAAGCCUCGGGAUUGUGGUUCUUGCCGCUUUAUUGUGGCGUGACCGCGAGAACUUGUCUAAACCUUAUCAUCUAGAGGAAGGUGAAGUCGUAACA